GGAUAUAACAGAUUAUGAUGAUGUUAAAUACUGUUGCUCGGGAGCCAAUGUUUGCUCCAAGUGUUGGCCUUUGAUGACAGUUGCUAUAAGAGAGGACUUUGAUAUCAAAUAUAUUCUCUGGGUCAUCAGUGGACGCUGUGGAGUUCACUGUUGGGUUUGUGAUGUUAAAGCCCGAAGGUGAAACAAGACCACUAAAACCGUGUCUCUCUUUGCGUGGUCUAUGUUAAUCGCUUUCCACAUUUCAUCUUCUCCUUUUUGAAUGAAACUCUGCAUAAUGAACAAAGAUCAGCAGUUGCUGAGGGAACAGAAACAAUGCAAAAAAAGUUGAUCUUAUGGGUCAUCCUCUUCAUCCGUUCCUUGCGAGUUACACACAACGCAAACUAUAUUAUCAAGCAAAGGCAAAUAUGAGAAGAUACUUGGAUGAUAACAAAUGAAGGUCCUCAUUCCUAGAACCAUUACUAAAAUCCUGCAUGGUGAAAAUCACUCAUUGCUCUACUUUUACCCACGGUUCUGAAUUGAUGCGUAGUAUGUUUAAGGGUUCAGAUACAGUUAUUGAAAGAGUUAUGUAUGUUAAUGAAAUGUCUGCCGGAAGAAAUAGAGAGUUCACACAAGACCAAAAAUUGAGAAGUCUAAGGAUACAUUCAGCUGGUGACUAAGGUAUUGAGUUUAUUGAAGUUAAUAAUCCGCUUAUUUCAGUCUGAGUUUUGAUUUCAGUUUGUAAUGCACAAUCAGUAGAGCCUCUCCAUCUUGUUGUAGUGUUUCCUAAUACGUUUGGACAAAUGGUUUAGUUAUAAAGAUUGAGAACAAAAAUAUUGGUAAAUACGUU